AAGUAUUACAGUUAUUUUAGAAUUUGUCUACAGGUUUUUCUGGUCCUUACCAGAAGGCCCCC
rnacentral:snRNA from 1 species